AACGUAGGUGGCAAGCGUUAUCCGGAUUUACUGGGCGUAAAGCGUGUGCAGGCGGGUGGACAAGGGGGGUAUGAAAUCGCCAGGCUAAACCUGGCGGGGUUAUGCCAGACUGUCCGUCUGGAGUGCGAGAGAGGGGCGUGGAAUUCCGGGUGUAGUGGUGAAAUGCGAAGAGAUCCGGAGGAACCCCAGAGGCGAAGGCGGCGCCCUGGCUCGCAACUGACGCUCAGACACGACAGCAUGGGGAGCGAACGGG
rnacentral:rRNA from 1 species